UUUGAUAUAAUCAGAGAACACACACAUGCUCUUGCUUAAUCCAGUUACAUCUAUUUUAGUACUCAAUACUCGUUCACAAAGAAGCAGGUGUUGUGUAUUAGUAUGUUCCCCUAACAAAUCCAACUACACACCCCUGUUCAAAGCAGCAACGGUAACUUCUCCAGCAAGUGGAAGCACUAUAGCAGGAAGCAACACAUCAAAGUCAAGCACGAGCUUAGGCAAAGGCAGGGGCUAGCUGGACCAUUAUUCUCUGAAGUUUGAACUCUAAACCAAACAUGACUUAUGGUCAGUAGAAGUACUCAUUCAGAGUUCAAAAUAAACUUCAAUUCAUUCUCAAAUUAGCUACUUGUAUUCAGCCACUAAUUAAUCUAUUGCUCAUUACAAUUAGUUAUCAAUUUUGAUAUUUUCUUGCUAGAUUAUUUUUCUGUCUAUUGAUAGCAGCAGUAUCAUUAGUUGUUAUAUUCUUUCAAAUACAUGUUGUCUGAUAUUUCCUCCUCAGAUUCAUGCAACAAUUAACAACUAACGACGAUCUCAAGAGAAGUGAAGAAGCUGAGGAACGACUGGCGAGGACACAGAUGUAGAUGGAGGAGAUGAAGAAGCUGGCAGAGAUGAACAGCAAGGCAAUGGAGGAGAAAAAUACGUUGCUCAAGCAUAUCUUGUCCAUCAACAAUGCUUCUUCGACGUGAGAGUUGCUUAGCUGCUGGUAGUAGGACUAGACUAACUAGGAACUGUAGCUGCUGGUGCUUGACAUCCUGCUGAUUUUGAUUUUGCAAUGACUUGUGUUCUGGUGGUUUGCAAAUGUUCUAUUUAAACCAAGUGUGUGGUGAACUAAGUUUAUGCACUUAUGUUGCUAGUGAACCGAGUGUAGCAGUGAUAAUUAAGUUAUGAGUAAUGGAUCUUUAGUUUUAUGCAUGUUUUCGAUGAAUUCAAUAUUUCUAGCAUUUUGAAAUGAAAUUAGCAGUUGCC
rnacentral:lncRNA from 1 species